rnacentral:tRNA from 2 species
GCUGGCGUAGCUCAAUUGGCAGAGCACCUCACUUGUAAUGAGGAUGUUGGGGGUUCAAUUCCUCUCGCCAGCUCCA